UGCGGGUCCCCCCUCGACGUGAAGUUGUGAACCCCGUCAGGCCCGGAAGGGAGCAGCGGUAGCAAUAGUAACGGGCGCUGGGGUGUGAUCGGUGCGG
rnacentral:SRP_RNA from 1 species